rfam:Flavobacterium indicum GPTSA100-9 complete genome
UACCUUUGCACCCGUAUUGAGAAACACUCAAUUUACAUAAUAAUUAUUUAAGGAAUAUUAGCAUG